GGUCGGCUAAUAAGCUCGAGGUCAGAUCGGAGCUCAAGCUCGAGGUAGGGGAACUCGGGGUCAGAGCGAGGCAGGGGAACUCGGGGUCAGAGAGCGAGGUCGGGGACUCGGGGUCAGAGCGAGGUAGGGGAACUCGGGGUCAGAGAGCGAGGUAGGGGAACUCGGGGUCAGAGCGAGGCAGGGGAACUCGGGGUCAGAGAGCGAGGUCGGGGACUCGGGGUCAGAGCGAGGUAGGGGAACUCGGGGUCAGAGAGCGAGGUAGGGGACUCGGGGUCAGAGAGCGAGGUAGGGGAACUCGGGGUCAGAGCGAGGCAGGGGAACUCAGGGUCAGAGAGCGAGGUCGGGGACUCGGGGUCAGGUUGGAGGUGGCUCCAGUAGGCUUAGGUUGGAGAAUGAAGUCGGGUGUCGACGCAGGUCAGCUUGGAGAAGGAGAUCGGGAGUCGAUGCAGUCAGCUUGGAGAAGGAGGCUAGGUC
rnacentral:lncRNA from 1 species